ensembl:lncRNA
CACGCGCAGGUUAGAACACACACGCACGCGCACACACCGCAGCGACACUCACCCAGAUAAGACGUUUUGUUUUUAUACAUCACGGCUCCGCCAUCGACACACGCGCCCAGACGCACGUGUAAGUCCUGAAAUUCUCCCGAUGGGCCGUAUGUGUGAACAACAUAUUCUGACCUUUGUACCCUGAAAAUCUCCUGAAUGAUACUAAGCCUGAGGCUAUAGUUGAGGUAGUUGUGCUGACUGUGACUGGACGCCUGCUCACCCCUGACGAGUACCAGCUUGCUACCUGGCCAGCUCCCCAUCACCAUGGACAUAUCACCAUAUUCUCAUUUUUUUUUUUAAUUUUUUUUUUAAUGUUUCCUUGUAAUACUAUUAUCUAUGUCAAUUGUGGCACCCAUUGCACUCCUUACCAUCCGCGGCAGGAGGGAUACCCCAAUAUACUUUUUCCUUCUCAAGCUUUCUUCCAUGAUAAUUAAGGGGGUGUCAUACAUGUAUG